UACGUAGGGUGCGAGCGUUAAUCGGAAUUACUGGGCGUAAAGCGUGCGCAGGCGGUUUGUUAAGACAGAUGUGAAAUCCCCGGGCUUAACCUGGGAACUGCAUUUGUGACUGGCAAGCUAGAGUAUGGCAGAGGGGGGUAGAAUUCCACGUGUAGCAGUGAAAUGCGUAGAGAUGUGGAGGAAUACCGAUGGCGAAGGCAGCCCCCUGGGAUAACACUGACGCUCAUGCACGAAAGCGUAGGGAGCGAACA
rnacentral:rRNA from 1 species